rnacentral:rRNA from 1 species
AAUCAACGCUGGCGGCGUGCCUAACACAUGCAAGUCGAACGCGAAAGGGGAGCAAUCCCUGAUUAGAGUGGCAAACGGGUGAGUAACACGUGGGUGACCUGCCUUCGAGUGGGGGAUAACCUUCCGAAAGGAGGGCUAAUACCGCAUGACAUACCGUGUUUGGAUACACGGAUAUCAAAGCCGGGGAUCGCAAGACCUGGCGCUUGAAGAGGGGCCCGCGUCCGAUUAGCUAGUGGUGGGGUAACGACUCACCAAGGCUCCGAUCGGUAUCCGGCCUGAGAGGGCGGACGGACACACUGGAACUGAGACACGGUCCAGACUCCUACGGGAGGCAGCAGUGGGGAAUUGUUCGCAAUGGGCGAAAGCCUGACGACGCAACGCCGCGUGGA